rnacentral:misc_RNA from 1 species
UCUGGCGAUCUCUUAAAACAAGCCUAGCCUCUUUAAGAAAAUAGGGCAUUUAGAUACUCUUUAAGUUCUUAUGGAUCUUAAAAGUCAUGAAUUUAAAAAAGGCUUUAUGAAGAAAGCACUUUAAGCUUUUCCAAUAAUUUAAGAUGAUACCGGGGAAGGUUUUCCGGUUUAUCCCGGAGGGCUUGUAGCUCAGUUGGUUA